UACGUAGGGUGCGAGCGUUAAUCGGAAUUACUGGGCGUAAAGCGUGCGCAGGCGGUUGUGUAAGUCUGACGUGAAAUCCCCGGGCUUAACCUGGGAAUGGCGUUGGAGACUGCACGGCUAGAGUGUGUCAGAGGGGGGUGGAAUUCCACGUGUAGCAGUGAAAUGCGUAGAUAUGUGGAGGAAUACCGAUGGCGAAGGCAGCCCCCUGGGAUAACACUGACGCUCAUGCACGAAAGCGUGGGGAGCAAACAGG
rnacentral:rRNA from 1 species